GCUUGCUACCUAACCUAGCGGCGGACGGGUGAGUAAUGCUUAGGAAUCUGCCAUUUAGUGGGGGACAACAUUCCGAAAGGAAUGCUAAUACCGCAUACGUCCUACGGGAGAAAGCAGGGGAUCUUCGGACCUUGCGCUAAAUGAUGAGCCUAAGUCGGAUUAGCUAGUUGGUGGGGUAAAGGCCUACCAAGGCGACGAUCUGUAGCGGGUCUGAGAGGAUGAUCCGCCACACUGGGACUGAGACACGGCCCAGACUCCUACGGGAGGCAGCAGUGGGGAAUAUUGGACAAUGGGCGGAAGCCUGAUCCAGCCAUGCCGCGUGUGUGAAGAAGGCCUUAUGGUUGUAAAGCACUUUAAGCGAGGAGGAGGCUACUUAGAUUAAUACUCUAGGAUAGUGGACGUUACUCGCAGAAUAAGCACCGGCUAACUCUGUGCCAGCAGCCGCGGUAAUACAGAGGGUGCGAGCGUUAAUCGGAUUUACUGGGCGUAAAGCGUGCGUAGGCGGCUUUUUAAGUCGGAUGUGAAAUCCCCGAGCUUAACUUGGGAAUUGCAUUCGAUACUGGGAAGCUAGAGUAUGGGAGAGGAUGGUAGAAUUCCAGGUGUAGCGGUGAAAUGCGUAGAGAUCUGGAGGAAUACCGAUGGCGAAGGCAGCCAUCUGGCCUAAUACUGACGCUGAGGUACGAAAGCAUGGGGAGCAAACAGGAUUAGAUACCCUGGUAGUCCAUGCCGUAAACGAUGUCUACUAGCCGUUGGGGCCUUUGAGGCUUUAGUGGCGCAGCUAACGCGAUAAGUAGACCGCC
rnacentral:rRNA from 1 species